GGUACAUUUCAGCCCAGGUCAUCGACUUUUUCUCUUUUUAGAUCCUUAAAAAAGAAAAAAAAAAAAACCUCCCAAAUCAUUACACAGAUGGGUAAAUAUAGCAACACCUAAUGGUUUCUCUGCGCUUUAUAAAAAAAAGACAUCGUCCGUAAAUGGUCAGGACAUUGGAUGAUAGAAAAGGAUGGAGGCGGGGCCUAAGAAUAAGGCUGACGCAAGACUGUCUAAAAGAAGUACUAUCAUUUCGGUGGGGCCUUCCAGAAGUCUAAGAAAUUCACCCGGAAGCUUUUCGAGGUCUGGCAUUUCCGCACCGGAACAUCCAUCUUUUUUCCUUUAAGUUCAAAGACACGAGACCUUCCCACACAUUCCAUAAGACUAUUACAGUGAAUACAUUUACGAGACAUACAA